GGUGGACGGUGUGCGUAGCAUCCAUCUACGUUUAGUGCCAUCUCCGGUCUGUGUCUUACAGGCUGUGAGACUGUUCUCACUCUCACACUCACAGCCACAGAGCCAAUGGAGAUCAUAGUACUGGCACAGUGACGUCUAAACGACCAUCCACCACUGGCCAGCCUCCAUAGUCUCCUACAAGU
rnacentral:snoRNA from 1 species